rnacentral:rRNA from 1 species
UGGCCAUCACACGUCCAGACUAAACGACGACCAAUUAUGGAUUGGACUGACUCGUCGGCAACAGGGAGCUAUCUAGCUUAGCUCCCUCUCACCCACCCCGCAACCGCGAGGCCGCGACCUCGUCGUCUUCCUCUCCUCUCUCUCCCGUCCGUCCAACUUGGUGGCCUGCCUGCUGCUCUGCUCUUCCGUCCGCGCGUGCUGGGAUCACCAUGGAGGUCUCCGGCCCCGUCGUCGCGCUCACGCCCGGUCAGGUGUCCUUUCUGCUUGGUCUUUUCCCGGUCCUCGUCGCAUGGAUCUACUCCGAGGUGCUGUACUACAAAAAGAAACCUUCGUCAACACACGGGCCCCAUAAUAGAUCUACCAAAGCCAAUUUAAUACGGUUUAUAACAAUGGAUGAGUCUUUUCUGCUUGAGAACCGUGAUGUGUUGAGAGCCAUGGCCGAAUGUGGCAUUAUGCUGGUUUAUUUUUACAUUUGUGACCGGACAGACAUAUUUCCACAGAGCAACAAGAACUACAGCCGCGACCUGUUUCUGUUUCUGUACAUUCUUCUCAUCAUAGCAUCGACACUUACUUCACUUAAGAAGCACCAGGAGGUAUCUUCAUUUACCGGAAAGUCCACGCUCUAUCUUAAUCGCCACCAAACUGAGGAAUGGAGAGGCUGGAUGCAGGUCUUAUUUCUGAUGUACCACUAUUUCGGUGCAUCGGAAAUAUACAAUGCAAUUCGUGUUUUCAUUGCUUGCUAUGUUUGGUUGACUGGGUUUGGGAAUUUCUCAUACUACUAUACCAAGAAAGAUUUUAGCAUUGCAAGAUUUGCUCAGAUGAUGUGGAGGCUAAAUUUCUUUGUUGCCUUAUGUUGCAUUGUCCUUGACAAUGAUUUUAUGUUGUAUUAUAUCUGCCCAAUGCACACCCUAUUUACACUCAUGGUGUAUGGGACACUUGGUCUGUUUAACAAGUAUAAUGAGAUACCAUCAGUUAUGGCUAUCAAAAUUGCUUGCUCCUUCUUGAGUGUCAUUUUGAUAUGGGAAGUUCCUGGGGUAUUCAAUGUUUUGUGGAGCCCCUUUACAUUUUUACUUGGCUAUAAAGACCCAAAUCCUUCCAAGUCACACUUACCAUUGUUGCACGAGUGGCAUUUUCGAUCUGGGCUUGAUCGAUACAUAUGGAUUAUUGGAAUGAUUUAUGCUUAUUUCCACCCUAAUGUGGAAAGAUGGAUGGAGAAGCUGGAAGAAUCUAAGACUAAGGUUGGGCUGUCGAUCAAGGGCACCAUUGUGACUAUUUCUAUCAUAGCGGGCUAUCUAUGGUAUGAAUAUAUCUAUAAGCUAGACAAAAUUACGUACAACAAGUACCAUCCCUACACGUCAUGGAUUCCUAUCACCGUGUAUAUUUGUCUGCGCAAUUGCACCCAACAGUUGAGGGGCGCCUCUCUAGCUCUUUUCACUUGGCUUGGCAAGGUCACGCUUGAGACUUACAUUUCUCAGUUCCACAUCUGGCUCAGGUCUAGUGUACCAAAUGGGCAGCCCAAAUGGCUUCUAUCUUUCAUACCGGAUUACCCAAUGCUUAACUUCAUGCUUACUACAACAAUCUAUAUUUUUCUAUCAUACCGAGUAUUUGAGCUGACAAAAGUACUGAAGGGAGCCUUUAUUCCCAAUAGAGACAACAAUCGCAUGUAUCAAAAUUUUAUUUUUGGGGUUGUCAUUUCUUUAUGUUUGUAUUGUUGCUCACAUAUUCUUCUGAAAAUUCCAGUUGUAUAGGUAAAGUUACAAAUCUGUUGUACAAUAGUUUUCAUAUAUGAGCUCCAUCCCUCCAUAUCUAAGCAUUUUUUUAACCUCCAUGUGAUUCUAGAUGAAUAAUUCCACUUCUCUAAGUUCCGUUUGCAUAGGGAUUGGAGGUAAGUGCACCAGUGGUUUCUGAAACAUACAGUGUCGAUUGCUCCAAACUAUUUUAGCUACAUUUGAUGCAUGUGGCAAGUGGACUAGGC